AACGAACGCUGGCGGCGUGGAUAAGACAUGCAAGUCGAACGGGAACUUCAGCUGUAGCAAUACAGUUGAAGUUUUAGUGGCGAACGGGUGCGUAACACGUGGGCAAUCUGCCGAGAAGUGGGGGAUAGCUCGCCGAAAGGCGAAUUAAUACCGCAUAUGAUCAGCUAAGACAUCUUAGCGACAUCAAAGCCGGGGCAACCUGGCGCUUUUUGAGGAGCCCGCGGCCUAUCAGCUAGUUGGUGAGGUAACGGCUCACCAAGGCUAUGACGGGUAGCUGGUCUGAGAGGACGACCAGUCACACUGGAACUGAGACACGGUCCAGACACCUACGGGUGGCAGCAGUCGAGAAUUUUUCUCAAUGGGGCAACCCUGAAGGAGCGACGCCGCGUGGAGGAUGAAGGUCUUUCGGGUUGUAAACU
rnacentral:rRNA from 1 species